rnacentral:rRNA from 1 species
AGAAUCAACGCUGGCGGCGUGCCUAACACAUGCAAGUCGAACGAGAAAGUGGAGCAAUCCAUGAGUAAAGUGGCGACCGGGUGAGUAACACGUGACUAACCUACCCUCGAGUGGGGAAUAACAUCGGGAAACCGAUGCUAAUACCGCAUAACAUCGCAAGAUCAAAGCAGCAAUGCGCUGGAAGAGGGGGUCGCGGCUGAUUAGCUAGUUGGCGGGUAAUGGCCCACCAAGGCGAAGAUCGGUA